rnacentral:rRNA from 1 species
UACGGAGGGUGCAAGCGUUAAUCGGAAUUACUGGGCGUAAAGCGCACGCAGGUGGCUGAGUCAGUCGAUUGUGAAAGCCCUGGGCUUAACCUGGGAAUUGCAGUCGAUACUACUCAGCUAGAGUAUGGGAGAGGGUAGUGGAAUUCCCGGUGUAGCGGUGAAAUGCGUAGAUAUCGAGGAGGAACACCGGUGGCGAAGGCGGGACUCCUGGGCCGAUACUGACGCUGAGGAGCGAAAGCAUGGGGGAGCAACAGG